rnacentral:rRNA from 1 species
AUGUAUGAGGAGAUUAAGUCAGCUAGGACCAAUGACAAUCUAGAGAGUUCCUUUGCAAUUCACAACCUGACAGAAGAGAAGAAGAAACUACAGGAGAACUAUGACAGUUUGUAUGCUGAUGUGAAUGCUCUUUUGGAUGCCCAGCAGCAGAGGGGUGUGGAGUUAACCAAUCAAAAGGAGCAAAAGCAAUAUCUUGAAGUGAAGAUUGCUGAGCUAGAAACUGUAGUUGGCAACUUGAAGGCAGCUGUCAAAGAAAGAGGAGGAGAAGAAGAAACUACAGGAGAACUAUGCCAGUUUGUAUGCUGA